rnacentral:siRNA from 1 species
GCAAUGAGGAUGGUCUAAGAAGCU